rnacentral:rRNA from 1 species
UUGAACGCUGGCGGCAGGCCUAACACCUGCAAGUCGAGCGGAUGAAGGGAGCUUGCUCCUGGAUUCAGCGGCGGACGGGUGAGUAAUGCCUAGGAAUCUGCCUGGUAGUGGGGGAUAACGUCCGGAAACGGGCGCUAAUACCGCAUACGUCCUGAGGGAGAAAGUGGGGGAUCUUCGGACCUCACGCUAUCAGAUGAGCCCAGGUCGGAUUAGCUAGUUGGUGGGGUAAAGGCCUACCAAGGCGACGAUCCGUAACUGGUCUGAGAGGAUGAUCAGUCACACUGGAACUGAGACACGGUCCAGACUCCUACGGGAGGCAGCAGUGGGGAAUAUUGGACAAUGGGCGAAAGCCUGAUCCAGCCAUGCCGCGUGUGUGAAGAAGGUCUUCGGAUUGUAAAGCACUUUAAGUUGGGAGGAAGGGCAGUAAGUUAAUACCUUGCUGUUUUGACGUUACCAACAGAAUAAGCACCGGCUAACUUCGUG